ACGCAAAUCUGUCAUUAUGGGCUUUAAUAUUGUAAAGAGUCUGGGCCCGGCGCGGAGGAGACGCUCUAACCCUAAUACGCUGCAGCGAAGACACGAGGUAUGUCACGCCGGCGACGUUUGCGAUUUUCUCACCAUCUGAAACGGUUUGAGUAAAGGCUUCGUGAUUACUUCCAUUGAUUCGCUCUCCCACUCCGUCUUCUUCAAUGCUUUUCGAUCUGAGAUGCUGUGUUUCAGUAUAAAUACAUAUGCCUCGGUGGUUCUGUGGUGAUACUCUAUGCCCGUGGUGGAGGUUUAUUGGUCUGUUCUGGUAUCUCUCUAUGAAAUUGGAAGCUCGAGCUGCUUCUCGCCUCUCGGUGGUGGUUUUGUGCUACCGCAAGUUUAUUGCGGCGAGUAACCCUUGAAGGUGGCUUCUUUGUUUGUUUCUUUAAGGGUUUUUGGUAGCUGGUUUACUCGCUGGACUUUGCCUCAUCAGGCCAGGACUGCAAAUCUUCAACGGGUCAGAAGAUUGUGAACUGAACCUGAUCAACAAAAGCCAAGCUAAUCACAUGAGAUCUUUUGGUCAGGGUCAACAGCUAUGGCAAG